rnacentral:rRNA from 1 species
UACGUAGGGUGCAAGCGUUAAUCGGAAUUACUGGGCGUAAAGCGUGCGCAGGCGUUAUGUAAGACAGAUGUGAAAUCCCCGGGCUCAACCUGGGAACUGCAUCUGUGACUGUAUAGCUAGAGUACGGUAGAGGGGGAUGGAAUUCCGCGUGUAGCAGUGAAAUGCGUAGAGAUCCGGAGGAACACCAGAGGCGAAGGCGGCCGGCUGGACCUGACCUGACGCUGAGGCACGAAGGCGUGGGGAGCGAACGGG